GAUGAACGCUGGCGGCGUGCCUAAUACAUGCGAGUAGAACGCUGAAGGAAGGAGCUUGCUCUUUCCGGAUGAGUUGCGAACGGGUGAGUAACGCGUAGGUAACCUGCCUGGUAGCGGGGGAUAACUAUUGGAAACGAUAGCUAAUACCGCAUAACAGUAGAUGUUGCAUGAUAUCUACUUAAAAGGUGCAAUUGCACCACUACCAGAUGGACCUGCGUUGUAUUAGCUAGUUGGUGAGGUAACGGCUCACCAAGGCGACGAUACAUAGCCGACCUGAGAGGGUGAUCGGCCACACUGAGACUGAGACACGGCCCAGACUCCUACGGGAGGCAGCAGUAGGGAAUCUUCGGCAAUGGACGGAAGUCUGACCGAGCAACGCCGCGUGAGUGAAGAAGGUUUUCGGAUCGUAAAGCUCUGUUGUAAGAGAAGAACGAGUGUGAGAGUGGAAAGUUCACACUGUGACGGUAUCUUACCAGAAAGGGACGGCUAACUACGUG
rnacentral:rRNA from 1 species